CCUGCGCGCCGCGCUCCGGGCUUUGCCUGACAUCUAGCUGCUGCUGGGGCGCCGGCGGCCGCCGCUCACUGGCCAAGCGGAGAGGAACGGAGCUCGCGGAGAGGAGGGUCAGGGACUCGGAAGCCUUAGAGUGGGCAGUGGAGGUGAGGGGCAAGGAGCAACCACCCCCCCAGGUUUUUAAUUUCCACUGGACACAGGUUUUGUUUUCCCCAGCUGCUCCAAGCUUGGAGUUUUGUCCCUGGCUCCAGUAUUUGCCCCUAUUCAGUGCGUGUCAUCCAUCUCGCCUUGCACUUUUUCUAAACGUACUCGGGGUGGCACUGCCUGUACCUCGACAUCGGUUUUUGAAGGGCGCUUUACCGGCCUAAGCCCAGGCCUUUUGUGCCUCCGGGUCUUCUGAGCACCCAGACUGCCAGUAGCCUCCAGGCGCAGAGUUCGCGGCCCGGGUAAACCAGAUGCUAGAGGGUCCGCGGGCUCUAUCGUCGAGGGGCGGUGCCCCAUUUUGGCUGUCGCGACCCCUGGAGGCCAAGGUCGAGGUCUGAGAGAAACUUUUCUCCCUCGCAGUCUUGGCCAUCCCCUGGCCUUUGCCCUCCAGGGAACCUAGUUGAAAACAUUUCCUGAGAACUGCACCCCCUUCAGGGCAAAGUCUUCAGGGGGCGAAUAAAAGCCUGAAGAAGAUUCAGAACCGCAAGUGGUUCCUCUCAUCUGGCUUCUCCACUUUAGAGGAUGGGGUUGAGGUCGGUAGCCCCCGGGUAGAGCCACCAGAAGAAAUCUCAGGAUGCGCAGAGUCCCCUUCUCCGCCCUUUUCCCUAGAGCUCAUUGAAGAUAGGGCUCGAGAGGCGCAGUGGGCUAACGUCCAGGAGCGUUGGGGUGAGGGUGAUGGCGGAGAGCGCCCUCCCUGGGUCUCCGGAGAGUCAGCCCUGGAGGUCAUUCAGCCUUAGCAACGAGGGGCUUCAGUAACUGGGUCCCCACGUUCAGUGCGUGACACGCGGUGGGGGGGGAGGUCAAAGGUUUUCCACAGGACUCAUAUGUUAUCACAUCCCCAGGCACGUCUCAGACACUGUCCCUAACGGAGAGUCGGGCCCCAGGAAUUAAAGAGUCAGGGAGGGUGGCAGAAGCCAAUAGAAGCAAAAAUCUGCUCUGGCCCCAUAAGGCCCCUUGGGGAGGUUUACAUCAGAACUGAUCUGGGUUCAAGAGCUGCUAAUGGAGUAGUCCCAAGGAUAGGCAAUUCCAUCCCAGCCAGCAGCCCUCUCUGUUCACAAGAAAAGUGCUCAGACCUGCAGGAGUCAGAGGAGAGAAGCAAAGCUGAGGGAGAAGCACACGAAGCCAAGGUCUCCGCAGCAGCCAGCCAAGCUAAGGACCCAGCAGCCCUCCACUGAGUCAGGCCACUAGCUUUUUAGGGCUGCACCUGUGGCACAUGGA